GUGGGGAAUUUUGGACAAUGGGCGCAAGCCUGAUCCAGCCAUUCCGCGUGCAGGAUGAAGGCCUUCGGGUUGUAAACUGCUUUUGUACGGAACGAAAAGCCUCUGGUUAAUACCCGGGGGUCAUGACGGUACCGUAAGAAUAAGCACCGGCUAACUACGUGCCAGCAGCCGCGGUAAUACGUAGGGUGCGAGCGUUAAUCGGAAUUACUGGGCGUAAAGCGUGCGCAGUCGGUGAUGUAAGACAGUUGUGAAAUCCCCGGGCUCAACCUGGGAACUGCAUCUGUGACUGCAUUGCUGGAGUGCGGCAGAGGGGGAUGGAAUUCCGCGUGUAGCAGUGAAAUGCGUAGAUAUGCGGAGGAACACCGAUGGCGAAGGCAAUCCCCUGGGCCUGCACUGACGCUCAUGCACGAAAGCGUGGGGAGCAAACAGGAUUAGAAACCCGUGUAGUCC
rnacentral:rRNA from 1 species